GCCUGGGUGGCUCAGUCGGUUGAGUGUCCGACUUCAGCUCGGGUCAUGAUCUCACGGUCUGUGAGUUCGAGCCCCGCGUCAGGCU
rnacentral:tRNA from 1 species